rnacentral:lncRNA from 1 species
CUCUCCCUUUCUCUCUAAGAGGCCCCCUUAGAGGAGAUUAGCAAGCAAUCUCUCAUCCUCCAAGGUCACUCAUCUCUUCUUCAAGUCCUUCCUUGGUGUGGAAAAAUUAGAGGUUCUCAAUUUUGGGAACUUGGAGAAUCCUUUCAACCAUCCUCAUCCAAGAAAUCCAUGGAUCUAAGAAGCAAGGAAUGAAGGCCCUCUCCUUGGGUGAUUAGCCUUUGCUUAUGCAAAGAGGAAUUAACAAAGGUAUAAAAUCUCUCAACUCACUUUGUUCUUGGGUUGAGUCUUGGUUCACCUUUCUAAUAGGCUUUGAAUUUCAUGGGUAAUGUUUUGUUUAUUGCUCAAAUGAACAUGUUUUUCACAAAAUUUCCUUCAUUAUUGACUGAAGACUUGGGGGACUACACUAUGUACGAUAUAUUGGGCUUCCGCGACUGGGCCUCAUGAAAAAUACUUGGGGGACUUAGCCCAUUAUUUAUGUACUGAGAAGCGAACCCUUAUUCUAUAAAAAGGACCCACUCACGUUCAUU